UGGCUUCAGUGAUGAUGAUGACAAUUGUCGCUCUUCCUGAUGUAACUCUGAAGGCUUUUAGUCACUACCUCAUCUGAGACAGCCA
ensembl:snoRNA